CUGAAAAUUCCUGCCUCUGGUGAC
rnacentral:piRNA from 1 species